AUUGAACGCUGGCGGCAGGCCUAACACAUGCAAGUCGAGCGGAUGAAGGGAGCUUUCUCCUGGAUUCAGCGGCGGACGGGUGAGUAAUGCCUAGGAAUCUGCCUGGUAGUGGGGGAUAACGUCCGGAAACGGGCGCUAAUACCGCAUACGUCCUGAGGGAGAAAGUGGGGGAUCUUCGGACCUCACGCUAUCAGAUGAGCCUAGGUCGGAUUAGCUAGUUGGUGGGGUAAAGGCCUACCAAGGCGACGAUCCGUAACUGGUCUGAGAGGAUGAUCAGUCACACUGGAACUGAGACACGGUCCAGACUCCUACGGGAGGCAGCAGUGGGGAAUAUUGGACAAUGGGCGAAAGCCUGAUCCAGCCAUGCCGCGUGUGUGAAGAAGGUCUUCGGAUUGUAAAACACUUUAAGUUGGGAGGAAGGGCAGUAAGUUAAUACCUUGCUGUUUUGACGGUACCAACAGAAUAAGCACCGGCUAACUUCGUG
rnacentral:rRNA from 1 species